rnacentral:rRNA from 1 species
AGAGUUUGAUCAUGGCUCAGGACGAACGCUGGCGGCGUGCCUAAUACAUGCAAGUCGAGCGCGGGAAGCAAACUGAAGCCUUCGGGCGGACGUUUGUGGAACGAGCGGCGGAUGGGUGAGUAACACGUGGGCAACCUGCCUGUAAGAUUGGGAUAACUUGCGGAAACGUGAGCUAAUACCAAAUAAAGCUUCAUAUUACCUGAUGUGAAGAUGAAAGAUGGCUCCGGCUAUCACUUACAGAUGGGCCCGUGGCGCAUUAGCUAGUUGGUGGGAUAAAAGCUUACCAAGGCAACGAUGCGUAGCCGACCUGAGAGGGUGAUCGGCCACACUGGGACUGAGACACGGCCCAGACUCCUACGGGAGGCAGCAGUAGGGAAUCUUCCGCAAUGGACGCAAGUCUGACGGAGCAACGCCGCGUGAGUGAAGAAGGUCUUCGGAUCGUAAAACUCUGUUGUUAGAGAAGAACACGAGUGAGAGUAACUGUUCAUUCGAUGACGGUAUCUAACCAGCAAGUCACGGCUAACUACGUGC